rnacentral:rRNA from 1 species
UACGUAGGUGGCAAGCGUUGUCCGGAUUUAUUGGGUUUAAAGGGUGCGUAGGCGGCGAUCUAAAUCAGUGCUGAAAUAUCCCGGCUUAACCGGGAGGGUGGCAUUGAUACUGGGUUGCUUGAGUAAAGUUGAGGUAGGCGGAAUUGACGGUGUAGCGGUGGAAUGCGUAGAGAUCAGGAAGAACACCGGUGGCGAAGGCGGCUUGCUGGGCCAUUUCUGACGCUGAGGCGCGAAAGCGUGGGGAGCAAACAGG